rnacentral:misc_RNA from 1 species
AAGUCGUAACAAGGUUUCCGUAGGUGAACCUGCGGAAGGAUCAUUACAGAGUUCUUGCCCUCACGGGUAGACCUCCCACCCUUGAUAUCUAUUCUCUUGUUGCUUUGGCGGGACGCUUCUUGCCACGGGCUUUGGCCUGUGUAUGCCCGCCAGAGACUCACCAACUCUUGUUUACGUGUCGUCUGAGUACUAUAUAAUAGUUAAAACUUUCAACAACGGAUCUCUUGGUUCUG